CCUCCAUCCAGCGUGUAGCUCUGUGCCUGGGGAUUUGAGUGCAACAGCUUCAGUGGGACCAGGAGUCUUGUGAGCCUGCAUGUGUCUGGUGGGAGGAACUAGAAAGAACAGAGCAUGUGUGCAUUGUGUGCAGGAGAUUCUGCUGAGAGUUCUUAUCUCAUUUCACAGUUAUUAAAGCUCUGAUCAUCAAUUGUGUUUAUUGUAUGUAUUGGAGCUGAUUGUCCUAUGAUGAUCAGCAAUGGCACAGAGCAGUGAGCAAUGAACAGGCUGAUCUGCCCACUGGACUCACUGGGUGGAGAUGAAGAACAGACACAACCUCUGGCAUUUAGCUUCUAAUCAAGCUGGGCCAGGGCUAGACUGGGAUGAAAACAUGGGAUUUUGAAUUAUGUAAACAACAUAAUAAUAUGAUCAUGAGUGCUGUCAGUUUUGAUGUAAAUGUGCAUCAUUUUGGGUAAUCUAUAUCAGUUAUUCUAUUGCAUGUAUUAAAAUCCUUUAGGAAAUAUUUGGGAGAUAGUAUAAAAUUAAUAUUCAGUAUGAAAGGAUUGUUCAAAGAGAUGAUUUGUUUUAGUUUUCUGUAUGUUUUUCUUCACGUAUUGUUUAUUGAUUUGUUGUCUUGCUUAGCUUUAAGGUUUUUAGGUUUAAGGAAUAGAGCUAAGUUGUAAAUAUGGUCAUAUGUAAAGCCUGAAGAAGAUCUUGCUGCAUAACUUUGUCCUGCACUUUAAUGGAAAACAAAUGCUGAUUUUAUAAUAAAGAAUAUUAACAUGUGAAUCAACUUCUGUUAUAUGACAAUAGUUUCACAGCAAUCAGAAAAAAAUUCAAUGAGAGUGAUGGGUUGACUCAAACCGAGUCUGAUUGCCAGUAGUAUGGAGGCAGUGAAGUGGCAACAGGACUCCAGCACUGAGCCCAGGACUCCAGAACUGAACGCAGUACUCCAGGUGAGGCGUUCAGUCCCAGAUGGCUUUCUGGGCUGCAAGCACACAUUACUAGGUCAUGUUGAGCUUCUCAUCCACCAGCAACCUGAUAUCCUUCUCUUCAGGGCUACUCUCAAUUGAUUUUCUGCCCAGUCUGUAUCUGUGUUUGGGAUCACCUCAACACAAGAGCAGACCUCGCACUUGGCCUUGUUGAGCUUCAUGAGGUUCUCACAGGCCCAUUUAUUCAUGUUAAAAGUUUCAGACCUGAUUUUUGACUAGUAUGGGAUUACUUCUGGCAAAUUCUAAGCUCCUCUUAAGAGCUCCUGAAAACCCCAAGUUCCCACUGAGAUAUAUAUGAGUUGA